UUGGGCAAUACAAUAGGAUAUUCGAAAGUGACUAGCUUUUCACAAAUGGCAUAUAUCUCCUUUGCUUUCAAAAAGGUAUAAUAGUGUCUAAACCGCUUGAUGUUGAAUCAUGAAGAUUGAAGAAUUUUUCGUAUGCUGUUCAGUGUUUGUUUGUACUUUUACUUUUGUUUCAAUGUUACGCUACGCGCGCGCUGAUUGGUCGAUCAAUAGCUAGCCGCCAAUUUUCACAUUCGAUGCUGCCAUGUUGUCUGCCAUCACCGAGAUGGUAAAAUGAAUGAAAAUAAAGGAAUAAGGCUGUGCACAAGGUAAAAGAAUGAUUAUCAAUGGAGUGUUUACUUUUGGAAUAUCCACGGCUAAACAGAGGACGAAUAUAAGUGAAUGAAUCGAGUCUCAACACCCAAGGCCACUGCAUGCACCAUCUCAUGCAUGAUCAUGAGGACAUCAUGAGCACGUUUUUGAAAAAGUGUCUGCCCUGGUGACCGGAUUACACAGACCUAAAGAAAACCUUGCAUGAACAACUAACUCACUGAUUUUAUGAUCAAAUUAUGCAAACAAAAAAGAGUGAAAACAGAAUUUGUGUAAGACUUCGUAGAAAAGCAUAUAAAGAACAGUGCUGAAGACUGACCAUUCCAUUGUGGACAUUAUUGUGAUAUUCGGCUAUUUGUUUGAUAUUGUUUAUGUGUGAAAUUAAAUCGGAGAGCACAUACAGGAGACUGUCAUAAAAAAGAAAUCAAGAAUGCCUUAACUGUAAUUAAUUGUAAUAUGACCAGUGACCUUGCAAGGCUUAAUUGAGAACUAUAUGGUUUGAACUUCGCUCAUUGUGAACUUUUGUCCAAGUCCAUCUGUGCACGCAUGUUGUGAUCAAACUGCAUUCAAGUUUAUCAAUCUGCAGCAACAAAUCAUCACUGAUUGGUUGAGUACUAUUAGUCAAAUUUCAUUAUGGUUUGUUCAUCAAUUUUGUGUUUAUUUUUGAAAUUUAUAUAAUGUGCAAAAUUCAAAGUUAAUAAUUUUUACGUGUGUCCUUUAUCUCAAACUUUGCUGCAACUGUUUAAGUUAAACAUCUUUGUUAUUAAAUAACUUCUACUGGUGAUUUAAUCACCAGUAGAAGUUAUUUGUAAAUUGAUUAAAAAGCAUAGUACAUGUAUGAGUAACUCAUUAUUAAAUAAUUAUAAGUGUUUAUUAAUUGUUUUUAUGUUGUAAUAUCUUAAAGUUGCUAUUUUUAUCUGUAAGCUUGCGGUAACUGUUUUUCGCAAAUUUGCAGCAAACUCUCUGCAAAUUUGACGUUGCAUUAAAAUUUUGUACAAAUUAACGUCAUUUUUUUAAUUAAUGGGCCUUAUUUUCUGCUUUAAGUUGUUAAAUAUAAAAUUAUCUGGAAUCAAUUUAAUUUCCUCCUAGGUAUAUCUAUUUUUUCCUUAUUUUUAUUGUUUAUAUGGUUACUUAUAUUUCUGUGCAUGUUUGAUUGUUUACAAUGUACAUAUAGUUGUAAGUCAUUACGUUUUUUGCCAUGCAUAUCCUGCAAAAUGUUUAAAAAUGCAAUGUUGAGGUAUGUUUUACAACUAAUAUUUUGGUUGUUGUGAAGGAAACGAGAGAAUUUCCUUUCAAGUGUAUAUAAAAAUGUGAAAUACGAUUUUUCUAUCCAUUAUUUUUUUUUCAGUAAAGCUUUAAAUUGCAAUUAUUACCAACAGAACUUCUAUAUACUGUAGCUUUUUUAAAGAACUUUCUUAUCUGGAAAAUUAAUUGCAAUGCUUAUGAUUGUUUGAAGUAAUUACUGUUUUCUCUCAAGUGCACAUUUGUUGUAAAUCCAAGCUAGUCAAAUUAGCAACCUUGUACACAUAACAUUUUGUUAGCCAGUUUAUUUAUAUAUGUGUUAUGGUAUUACAGAUUUAUUGAUUUA